CUAAUACCGCAUAAUGUCUUCGGACCAAACGGGGCUUCGGCUCCGGCGCAAAGAGAGGCCCAAGUGAGAUUAGCUAGUUGGUAAGGUAAAGGCUUACCAAGGCGACGAUCUCUAGCUGUUCUGAGAGGAAGAUCAGCCACACUGGGACUGAGACACGGCCCAGACUCCUACGGGAGGCAGCAGUGGGGAAUAUUGCACAAUGGGGGAAACCCUGAUGCAGCCAUGCCGCGUGUGUGAAGAAGGCCUUCGGGUUGUAAAGCACUUUCAGUUGUGAGGAAAAGUUAGUAGUUAAUACCUGCUAGCCGUGACGUUAACAACAGAAGAAGCACCGGCUAACUCCGUGCCAGCAGCCGCGGUAAUACGGAGGGUGCGAGCGUUAAUCGGAAUUACUGGGCGUAAAGCGCACGCAGGCGGUUUGUUAAGCUAGAUGUGAAAGCCCCGGGCUCAACCUGGGAUGGUCAUUUAGAACUGGCAGACUAGAGUCUUGGAGAGGGGAGUGGAAUUCCAGGUGUAGCGGUGAAAUGCGUAGAUAUCUGGACCGUUGCNUCNGUGGCGANGNCGACUCCCUGGCCAANGACUGACGCUCAUGUGCGAANGUGUGGGUAGCGAACAGGAUUAGAUACCCUGGUAGUCCACACCGUAAACGCUGUCUACUAGCUGUGUGUGCCUUUAAGGCGUGCGUAGCGAAGCUAACGCGCUAAGUAGACCGCCUGGGGAGUACGGCCGCAANGGUUAAAACUCAAAUGAAUUGACGGGGGCCCGCACAAGCGGGUGGGAGCAUGUGGUUUAAUUCGAUGCAACGCGAAGA
rnacentral:rRNA from 1 species